rnacentral:rRNA from 1 species
GGCGUCGACCGGCGCACGGGUGAGUAACGCGUAUCCAACCUGCCCACCACUUGGGGAUAACCUUGCGAAAGUAAGACUAAUACCCAAUGAYRUCUCUAGAAGACAUCUGAAAGAGAUUAAAGAUUUAUCGGUGAUGGAUGGGGAUGCGUCUGAUUAGCUUGUUGGCGGGGUAACGGCCCACCAAGGCAACGAUCAGUAGGGGUUCUGAGAGGAAGGUCCCCCACAUUGGAACUGAGACACGGUCCAAACUCCUACGGGAGGCAGCAGUGAGGAAUAUUGGUCAAUGGGCGAGAGCCUGAACCAGCCAAGUAGCGUGCAGGAHGACGGCCCUAUGGGUUGUAAACUGCUUUUAUAAGGGAAUAAAGUGGGAGUCGUGACUCYUUUUGCAUGUACCUUAUGAAUAAGGACCGGCUAAUUCCGUGCCAGCAGCCGCGGUAAUACGGAAGGUCCGGGCGUUAUCCGGAUUUAUUGGGUUUAAAGGGAGCGUAGGCCGGAGAUUAAGCGUGUUGUGAAAUGUAGRCGCUCAACGUCUGCACUGCAGCGCGAACUGGUUUCCUUGAGUACGCACAAAGUGGGCGGAAUUCGUGGUGUAGCGGUGAAAUGCUUAGAUAUCACGAAGAACUCCGAUU